rnacentral:rRNA from 1 species
AGAGUUUGAUCCUGGCUCAGAUUGAACGCUGGCGGCAUGCCUUACACAUGCAAGUCGAACGGUAACAGGUCUUCGGACGCUGACGAGUGGCGAACGGGUGAGUAAUACAUCGGAACGUGCCCGAUCGUGGGGGAUAACGAAGCGAAAGCUUUGCUAAUACCGCAUACGAUCUACGGAUGAAAGCAGGGGRYCGCAAGRCCUCGCGCKAWYGGAGCGGCCGAUGKCAGAUUAGGUWGUUGGUGGGAUAAAGGCCUACCAAGCCGACGAUCUGUAGCUGGUCUGAGAGGACGACCAGCCACACUGGGACUGAGACACGGCCCAGACUCCUACGGGAGGCAGCAGUGGGGAAUYUUGCGCAAUGGGCGAAAGCCUGACGCAGCGACGCCGCGUGRGUGAUGAAGGCCUUCGGGUUGUAAAGCUCUGUGGAGGGGGAMGAAUAAGGGYWGSCCAAYACSCURACUCGAUGRCGGUACCCCUUUAGCAAGCACCGGCUAACUCUGUGCCAGCAGCCGCGGUAAUA